GCGGGUGUAGCUCAGUGGUAGAGUGUCACCUUGCCAAGGUGAAUGUCGAGGGUUCGAGUCCCUUCGCCCGCUCCA
rnacentral:tRNA from 5 species